CCUCUGACUCUGUCUGAUAUGUUUGAUAUUAGGUUGUUUUAUUGGAAAACCAACUAAAUAUCAAACAUUCUUACAGCGCCAGGGA
rfam:Buceros rhinoceros silvestris contig114647, whole genome shotgun sequence.